CAUGCUCAGGAUGAACGCUGGCGGCGUGCCUAAUACAUGCAAGUCGAGCGAACGGACGAGAAGCUUGCUUCUCUGAUGUUAGCGGCGGACGGGUGAGUAACACGUGGAUAACCUACCUAUAAGACUGGGAUAACUUCGGGAAACCGGAGCUAAUACCGGAUAAUAUUUUGAACCGCAUGGUUCAAAAGUGAAAGACGGUCUUGCUGUCACUUAUAGAUGGAUCCGCGCUGCAUUAGCUAGUUGGUAAGGUAACGGCUUACCAAGGCAACGAUGCAUAGCCGACCUGAGAGGGUGAUCGGCCACACUGGAACUGAGACACGGUCCAGACUCCUACGGGAGGCAGCAGUAGGGAAUCUUCCGCAAUGGGCGAAAGCCUGACGGAGCAACGCCGCGUGAGUGAUGAAGGUCUUCGGAUCGUAAAACUCUGUUAUUAGGGAAGAACAUAUGUGUAAGUAACUGUGCACAUCUUGACGGUACCUAAUCAGAAAGCCACGGCUAACUACGUGCCAGCAGCCGCGGUAAUACGUAGGUGGCAAGCGUUAUCCGGAAUUAUUGGGCGUAAAGCGCGCGUAGGCGGUUUUUUAAGUCUGAUGUGAAAGCCCACGGCUCAACCGUGGAGGGUCAUUGGAAACUGGAAAACUUGAGUGCAGAAGAGGAAAGUGGAAUUCCAUGUGUAGCGGUGAAAUGCGCAGAGAUAUGGAGGAACACCAGUGGCGAAGGCGACUUUCUGGUCUGUAACUGACGCUGA
rnacentral:rRNA from 1 species